rnacentral:rRNA from 1 species
UACGUAGGGGGCAAGCGUUGUCCGGAUUUAUUGGGCGUAAAGAGCGUGUAGGCGGCCAGAAAAGUCCGCUGUGAAAACUCGAGGCUCAACCUCGAGACGUCGGCGGAAACCCUCUGGCUAGAGUCCGGAGGAGGAGAGUGGAAUUCCUGGUGUAGCGGUGAAAUGCGCAGAUAUCAGGAAGAACACCCGUGGCGAAGGCGGCUCUCUGGGACGGUACUGACGCUGAGACGCGAAAGCGUGGGGAGCAAACAGG